GUGGACUUUUCUUUGAUAUGAAUUCAAAGUUUUUACUCAAACAUUUCCUAAAGUUUAUAGUUUCUUUUUUUUUUUCCAAAUUAAAUAAGUAAAACCGUGCUUGUUGCAAGCAUUGACCCCUUGAUGUUUUCGCUGUCUUUUUUAAUCAUUCAAGCUUAUCAAACUUAUGGUUAGAGUAUCCUGUGCAGCAACCAUUGGGUUAGUAGCUGCUUUUAGUUUUUUUCUACUACCAAAAGUUCAACCACUCUAAUUUCUAGAGAUAUCUAAAGAAAGCUACUAUCUCGUUCCACUUAACCUUGUAGUCUGUAGGCUGUUCAAUGAUGGCAAAUGUUUGUGCAACUUGUAGUGUAUUAUGUUUAAUGCUGGUUCUUCCACAUGCAUAUUCAAGAACUUUCAGAGUAAUGCCUAUUUUGUGUUUUUUCUCCACCUUCUUUGCUAAGAUCCUGUGAUACUGGCAACCAUCCUAUACUUGUCUUGUUCCGCUUGAAGACUCAUGUUUGUCGGUACAUUGAGGUGCACUGGAACAUCUCGCAUUUCAGUAAUGCCCUUACCAACCAAUACCUUCUUCUCACCACAGGCAGAUUAUGUCAUGGGCUGUGCUUUUGAGCUUGCUCUAUCUUUUUUGCUGGUCCAUGUCAUAUGAAAGUCUAUCUCGUAGCUUAAGAACGUCCUAGGCUGUUUCUUGGCCUCGCAGCAUCCCACUUAUAUUUGGUUGCCUGGUGUCUCCUUCAACCUAGAAUAUUGAAAAUGAAGAUGUGUUGAUGAUCAGCUCUCACUUCUUUCUAAGUUGUUGCUGUAUAAUUUCUAAUUAAUGGAGAAAGUGGAAGGAAGGAAAGUUUCAAUAGUUAUAUUUUUCUAGAUGUCUAGUUAUAUUUUUCUAGAUGUCUAAUGAAGUCCCAUCACCAUGGAUCUCCAUUGAAAAUGACUCUGGUCACCUGAGCAACACAAAUAAAUCUAGCGUAAGAACUGAGAAGUGGGCAAAAUUUUGAAUUAGAUGAUCCUCAUUGGCGAAAGUACUGGCAGGUAGAAAGGUGGUUCCUAGAAUGAUGGUUGUUUUUAUUGCCUUGUCAUUGUACUUAAUCUGCAGCACCUAUGGUGUUGUUCCAGAUUCAUUUAUAAAAUCUGUACGGUUCUUGUUCAGUUUCACCCAGGGUGUUGUUCCAGAUUCAUUUAUAAAAUCUGUACGGUUCUUGUUCAUUUUCAUCUUUGAUUUGAUUUUUCAGGAAUCUCGCAAAUUAGCUGCAGAAUGUGUGAAAGGUGUAGAGGUCAUGGGUGAGGAGAUGCCAUCAUG
rnacentral:lncRNA from 1 species